rnacentral:rRNA from 1 species
AUUGAACGCUGGCGGCAGGCUUAACACAUGCAAGUCGAACGAGUGGCGGACGGGUGAGUAAUACUUGGGAACCUAGCUCAUGGAGGGGGAUAACUACGGGAAACAGUGGCUAAUACCGCGUACCAUAGGAGGAGCCCAAAUGGGAUUAGGUAGUUGGUGAGGUAAAGGCUCACCAAGCCGACGAUCCCUAGCUGGUCUGAGAGGAUGACCAGCCACACUGGGACUGAGACACGGCCCAGACUCCUACGGGAGGCAGCAGUGGGGAAUUUUGCGCAAUGGGGGCAACCUGACGCAGCCAUGCCGCGUGAAUGAAGAAGGCCUUCGGGUUGUAAAGUUCUUUCGGUAGCGAGGCGUUAACUACAGAAUAAGCACCGGCUAACUCCGUGCCAGCAGCCGCGGUAAUAC